rnacentral:rRNA from 1 species
AUACGUAGGGUGCAAGCGUUAAUCGGAAUUACUGGGCGUAAAGCGUGCGCAGGCGGUUAUGUAAGACCGAGGGGAAAUCCCCGGGCUCAACCUGGGAACUGCCUUUUUGACUGCAAGGCUAGAGUACGGCAGAGGGGGAUGGAAAUUCGCGUGUAGCCGUGAAAUGCGUAGAUAUGCGGAGGAACACCGAUGGCGAAGGCAAUCCCCUGGGCCUGUACUGACGCUCAUGCACGAAAGCGUGGGGAGCAAACAGGAUUAGAUGCCCUGGUAGUCCACGCCCUAAACGAUGUCAACUGGUUGUUGGGUCUUCAUUGACGCAGUAACGAAGCUAACGCGUGAAGUUGACCGCCGGGGGAGUACGGCCGCAAGGUUGAAACUCAAAUGAAUUGACGGGG